UGCAUCGGCCGGGAAUCGAACCCGGGCCGCCCGCGUGGCCCGCGUUUACCAGUGAACUACCGAUGC